CGCGCAGGCUGUGCUGCAAGUCAGCUGUGAAAUAUCUGGGCUUAACCUGGAUAUGCGGUUGAGACUGCAGUGCUGGAGUGCUGUAGAGGCAAGUGGAAUUCCCAGUGUAGCGGUGAAAUGCGUAGAUAUUGGGAAGAACACCGGUGGCGAAGGCGACUUGCUGGGCAGCAACUGACGCUGAGCGCGAAAGCCGAGGGGAGCGAAACG
rnacentral:rRNA from 1 species